UAACCCGGUAACCCAUUACCCGACCCGGUUCUCUCUCAACCCCACUCAGCUCCCAAACCCAGCCGCCACACUUGACCUAUUUUCCUUCCUUCUUUAAUUCACGACACAUAGCUUCCUUCUGUUUCCAAGAAGGAAAGAAAAGAGCAGAAAGUGGGAGAAGAGGAACGGGAAGGAGAGGAGAGGAGGAGGACGGCGCCGGCGGGCGUCACUGCCGCCGCGCCGUCGCGUCGCGUAGAGACGAGAGGAGCGAGAUCUGAGGAUGAGACAAGGAUCUGCGCCGGUGGCACUGGGGUUUGCUGCCGCCGUUUGAUGCCGCCGAGGGGAGGAGGGUUACAGCCACCGCAAGGGGCCUGCCGAUGUCACCCUCACGAGUCACCAUUCCCGAGCUGCAGCACCAUGGAGCCAGCCUCGUCGCGCCGUCACGGCUGCCCGCGCUAUCGUCGUCGCCGUUGGUCCACCGGGGGUCGCCAUCGAAGUUGAGACACGAAGAGAGGGGGUACGCGAGCGAGAAGGGGUCUGAGGGCCUGAAACCGCCGCGCUUGGUCUCGUCGGUGAAGCCAUGGCCGCCGUCAUCGGAACAGAGGGCGCGAGAGAGACAGAAAGCUCGCGGUGGGGGAAAGGACAGGCGCCGCCAUGCUGCACGGAGCUAUCGCCGCCGUUCCUGCCGCCGGUAAGCCUCGGUUAACACCGCCAAAGCUCCGGCCAUCACCGUCGCUGAGGAAGCUCACCAGAGUUGCUGGAGGCUGCCGCCGCUCUGCCUGGUUGUGUUGAGUCGCGCCGCCGUGCCUGGCCGCCGGAAAACCCCGCUGCCGUCGCCGAAAAACUCUACCUGCGCCAUUGCCAGAGUCCGGUCACUGCUUACUGCUUGAGGUGGCUGCCAGGCUGCUACCGUUGAACCGGUUCAGAGACCGCCGCUGUUCCGGUUUAGCUGUUCCUUCUUCAUUCGUGUUGCUGUGGUUACCGCGGGAGUGGCUUGGAGCCGAGGUUGCGGUUGUUGGUGAUUUCGGUUUAAGAGAGGAGGUUCCUAUGACGCGUUUGGGUUAUGGAUUUGCGUUUUGAGGAUAUGGGCGCAGAAGUCACGAAGAGUUAUUUAGUUGUUGUUGAGAUGCUCUGUAUUGU